rnacentral:lncRNA from 1 species
CAGGUUUAGAGAGCCUUUACACACGAAAGAAAGAACGGUGGUUUGAUUCAUUCUGAAAAUUGCCACAUUCAGUUCUUCAACCCAUGGUAAUGUUGGAAGAUUAGUGUACAUAUAAUUAUAAUAGGGAGAAUAGUGUACAAUACUAGGCUAUUGCCUGCACUAACCAUGGAACUGUGUGAUGUCACGGCCAAGUACUGUGCGGUGCGUCGGGUUCAAACUGUUACGGCUUGGUCUGCGCUCUGCUCCAUAACGAUUUAAUUAGCCUACGUGUCUUUAAAAAAUAUAUAUAUUAUCAACUGUUUCCACACGGCCAUGACCGCAUUUACAGAGGAAGCAAAUUAAGAACGAUGGAUGGAGCGAAAUGUGUUGAUGCGGAUCAUUUUCCCCUACUUUCCCACAUGGCGUGUGGAUGGAGAGAAUGAUCUCACUGCUGUCCUGGCAUCUCUCAUACCUCAGCUACUGCCUUCCUCCCUCCAGCGCAGCUAGAGGACCCAGACAGCUCGACCUUUAUGAACCGUUAAUUAACAAGUCAAAAUAUAUCCCAUGAAAAAAACGCCACUGCUUUACGGCAAAGCUAACGCUGGAUGACCCAGACUUGAAAAGCCCAGGGAUAGACGGCUCAAAGAUGAAAGCAUUGUGACGGUCAACCAGGGCAGGGAUAAAUGAUGAGUUGGCAGAAAAGGCCUGGAGAAGGCUUCCUUAUGCAACACAGCGGACUGAGUGGCAUGGACUGGUAAAGGUUAAAUAUAUCCAGUCAAGUGUCACAAAAUCCAACUUGAUUGUUUCACUGUGACCUGGUUUUGUGAUUCAUCCUUUUUUAAACCAAGUUUUAUUCUGAAAGCAAAUUCAAACUUGGUUUAAACAAGGAUGAACAACAAAAUAAGUUAAAUUUGAUUUCAGCUCCCUUCCACUCUUUUAAACAGUAAGAUUUAAGCCAGAGGGUAUUUCUCACGGUGCAUUUCAUAUAUGCAUAUGUACAUUGCAGAUGCUAUUAAGUUUUGUGUUCUGCCAAAGACUGGUGAGUCAGUGGUGCAGCUCUGUACAUUUGAGUAUGCAUGCAGCAUACUGUUGUUCAGCAUUGAGCAAAUGUGCAUUAGUGCACUUUCCAGAUGAAUGAAAUAAAAAAAUGUUAAAAAAUUAUGCAUUAAAUGGAAUGAAAUGUAUGUAUUCACUACUAUAAGUCGCUCUGGAUAAGAGUGUCUGCUAAAUGACUAAAAUGUAAAACGGACAGGGAGUGUGGCUUGAACACUCAACCUUCUGUCCCGAAGCCCACCGGACCAUCGACUGUGCCACAAAAGCAUGCUGAAGUGGCAGAGUUGAUAUCUGCGCUUAAAACAUAGGGACGCUACAGUACAGUGCACUCGGAAAGUAUUCAGACACCUUAACUUUAUCCACAUUUUGUUACGUUACAGCCUUAUUCUAAAAUUGGUUAAAUUGCUUUUUUUCCCUCCUCAAUCAACUACACACAAUACCCCAUAAAAAAUAUGACAUUUACUUAAGUAUUUAGACCCUUCACUCAGUACUUUGAAGCGCCUUUGGCAACGAUUACAGCGUUGAGUCUUCUUGGGUAUUGCGCUACAAGCUUGGCACACCUUUAUUUGGGGAGUUUCUCCCAUUUUUCUCUGCAGAUCCUCUCAAGCUCUGUCAGGUUGGAUGAGGAGUGUUGCUGCACAGCUAUUUUCAGCUCUCUCAAGAGAUGUUUGAUCAGGUUCAAGUCCGGGCUCUGGCUGGGCCACUCCAAGACAGUCAGAGACUUGUCCCAAAGCCACUCCUGCGUUGUCUUGGCUGUGUACUUAGGGUCGUUGUCAUGUUGGAAAGUGAGCCUUCGCCCCCAGCCUGAGGCCCUAAGCGCUCUGGAGUCAGUUUUUACCAAGGAUCUCUCUGUACUUUGCUCCGUUCAUUUUCCCUCAAUCCUGACUAGUCUCCCAGUCCCAGCAUGAUGCUGCCACCACCAGAGAAGGAGGGAGGUAGUAUGGUAGUGGGAGGACAUGGCAUAGAUGCCAAUAGCUUAAAAGGGACUCCUUUCCUCUGCUUAAGGGCCAGUUAUGAGUGAGAUAACAUAUGGGAUGUGCUAGGUUUGUCAGGUUUAGUAGUAGCUGGCAAUGCACUCCAGAUGCCUCAAGGAAGGACUUUAGGUAGCAGCACCACCCCCAAAACAACACGUUUUGUGUGACUGGGGGUAAUUUGUGAACAUCCUCCAAUCAUCUUUGUUCCCUUUCCCAAUGAAUGAGUAGUUGUAGCAUCCACUGACACACUUCCACACUCAACCCCCUCCCACUCCUUCUCAAAUGAAUAAC